UCGCCUGUUUAUCAAAAACAUGGUUUUUUGUUUUUAUAAAAGAUUUGGCCUGCCCAAUGAUCAUUUUUAAUGGCUGCAGUAUUUUGACUGUACAAAGGUAGCAUAAUCAUUUGUGUUUUAAUUGGAUUCUGGAAUGAAUGGUUAGACGAAAAAUUUACUUUCUUUGGCUUUUGUGAAAAAUUUGAUUUUUAAGUUAAAAAGCUUAAAUUUAAUUGUAGGACGAGAAGACCCUAUAGAACUUUAUUUUUAAAAAAUAUUUUUUAUUUUGGGAAUGAAAUUUGGUUAUUUUGAUAAAAUUGUGUUGGGGCGACGGAAAAAAAUUUUUAACUUUUUUUGAUUUUGUCAUUUAUGGAUGAAUUGAUGAUCUUUUCUUUUGGAAAAAAGAUUAAGUUACCUUAGGGAUAACAGCGUUAUUACUUUAGAGAGUUCAUAUUGAUGAAGUAGUUUGCGACCUCGAUGUUGAAUUAAAAAAGGUAUCAGGAGUAUACGAUUGAUGACCGGGUCUGUUCGACCCUUGAAUUUUUACAUGAUCUGAGUUCAAACCGGAGA
rnacentral:rRNA from 1 species